AUUGAACGCUGGCGGCAGGCCUAACACAUGCAAGUCGAGCGAGCGGCGGACGGGGGAGGAAUGUAUGGGGACUGCCCGAUAGAGGGGGAUCACUACUGGAAACGGUAGCUAAUACCGCAUACUAUCGGAUAACCCAUAUGGGAUUAGCUAUUAGGUGAGGUAAUGGCUCACCUAGGCGACGAUCCCUAGCUGGUCUGAGAGGAUGAUCAGCCACACUGGGACUGAGACACGGCCCAGACUCCUACGGAGGCAGCAGUGGGGAAUAUUGCACAAUGGGCGCAAGCCUGAUGCAGCCAUGCCGCGUGUAUGAAGAAGGCCCUAGGGUUGUAAAGUACUUUUGGCAGAGAAGCGUGAUCUGCAGAAUAAGCACCGGCUAACUACGUGCCAGCAGCCGCGGUAAUAC
rnacentral:rRNA from 1 species